UAGGGAAUCUUCCACAAUGGACGCAAGUCUGAUGGAGCAACGCCGCGUGAGUGAAGAAGGUUUUCGGAUCGUAAAGCUCUGUUGUAAGUCAAGAACGGGUGUGAGAGUGGAAAGUUCACACUGUGACGGUAGCUUACCAGAAAGGGACGGCUAACUACGUGCCAGCAGCCGCGGUAAUACGUAGGUCCCGAGCGUUGUCCGGAUUUAUUGGGCGUAAAGCGAGCGCAGGCGGUUUGAUAAGUCUGAAGUUAAAGGCUGUGGCUCAACCAUAGUUCGCUUUGGAAAACUGUCAAACUUGAGUGCAGAAGGGGAGAGUGGA
rnacentral:rRNA from 1 species